AAUUUUUGGAAAUCCUCUUCAUGAAGCCUUUAUGUUUUAAAAAACUUCAGGACCUAGGCUUCAUUUUUAAAUUGUCCACAGGAGAUAUCAUGUCUUGGAGUGUUUCUCAGAUAAAAGCUUAUUUUGGUUUAUCUGGAGGGUAAAUAUUUAUUCACUAUGUCGUUAUAAAUUUUUGGAAAUCCUCUUCAUGAAGCCUUUAUGUUUUAAAAAACUUCAGGACCUAGGCUUCAUUUUUAAAUUGUCCACCAUUUUUCAGUAGAAUUCUGAUGGAGAGAAGACCAUCGUUGUGGUUUAUUUAUUUGCUUAAUAGCUCAUGUAUUAGUUCAUUGCACAGUCCUGCAGGGAGCCACAUAAAACUCCUUGUGCAAUCUUUUUGUUGGUUGGAUCCCAGGGCACCUUCUCUGAGUCCCACAGUGUUCAUGCUAACAUUCCUUUUCCAGGCAUCUAUUCAGGUUUUAUUGAUAUUAACCUACAAAGUAGCAGGGGAAGUGGAUUUAACCUUGGCAGUAUUAUCCUUGUAUUAAAGUUUACACACCGAUAGACACCAAUAGACACCAAUUAACAGAAAUUUCAUCCAUUUUGGAAACUGAGGACGUAGAGGUUCUUUGUGGAAAGGAAGACUUUCCUGGUUAGGUUUGAAGGUGAGGGUGGUACUUGGUGUUUGCUUUCAAAGCAUAGUAAAGGCUUUGUUUUCUCUUUAGGCUUUGAGAAGGAAGAGGUUGGCUGGCUGAUUGAACUUUUGGCCAAGGCUGUCGAGUUGAAGAGUUACAUGGGUUUCAACAGAAAAUAUAGAGGAAAGGCCAGGUAUGCUUCAAAAACUAUGGUAGGUUUAUCAGGCUUUUAGAGUUUGCCUGCAAAAGAAAGUCAACUUUUCUGGUAAUCCCUGAGGGCGAGCAAGGCAAGGGUUGGGAGCAACUAAAAAAUGCUUUGUCUUCAAUGUUGGUGGUCCCCUCCUCGAAUAUAGCUGAAAAGGAAAGAUAGUGCAGGGAUGAUACACAAAUGUGGGUCCUUUGUAUUGGUCCUUUGUGAGUGUAGUCAAAGAGAAAGGACCAAAGAGAGGAGGUCUUGCUCCAAUUGGGAGAUGGGUGAGAGUUGUGGUUUGUGAAUGUCCUGCAUCUUUUGUUGAUUGGGCUGAGGUUGGUUGUGCUUGGGCAAGAUUCUUAGGGCAGAAAAGCGUGGUGACUCUCAUCCCUUUUUUUGUUGGAAAAGGUUUAUUUUUUGUAGAAACAGUUGAGGAAGCCUCCUUUCUUCAAGAGUUAAGGUUUUUCAAGGUUAAGGGAGGGUACAUAGUCCACUUGAGAAGAUGGUCUCCUAGGGAAAACACAAAAGUUUUAGGGAAGUUCAAAGAAGGAUGGAUUGAAUUGCGGGGUUUGCCCUUCCAUUUAUGGUCUGAGGAACAUCUGAAGAAAAUUGUGGAACAGUGGGGGAUGGUGGUAGAGAUCAAUUGGCGAAUUGCGAAAUUGUUUGAUCUUUCUAAGGCAAGGGUGAAAAUAUCUAUGAAGGAAUGUAUAGUUCUUCCUGCUUUGAUUGAAGUGAAAGAUGGUGAAUGGGUUUUUAUAAUCUCAGUUGUAGUGGUUGGAGUUGAAGACGAAAGGUUGGUUAGAGGAAUGGCUGAGUCGACUCGGGGGAGGUUUGAGUCUCACUCAUGGACAGGUGGCAGAAGGAUGGUUGAGAAGUAUAAUCCAAUGGCUAAGGUUUGGUCUUUUAACGGGGAUUUUGGUAGAUUUCAAGGUAAAGUAGAAAGUCAAAAGGGUGAGGUUGCUUUUGAGGGGACGUGUGGCAAGAGGAGUGCGUUUGUGGGAAACAACUGUAUCCAACCCUCCUCUCUCUUUAAUUUGAAUUCAACUAAAGAGGGUAAUGGGUCCUUUAGGCCAAGGACGUUUGGUGAAGAUUGGGCCGGAAGGGUUAAGGCCCAUUCAAGCUUCAAGCACUGGUACUUGGCUUCAAAUAUUGUGCAGAAGGGAAGGGCUCAUUUUUCUCAAGAACCUCGACCCUUAGUAGAAGCAAAAGUGGGCCAGGAGAGGGGAAAUAAAUUAAAAGAAAGCCCGUUGACCAUUUUGGGCCAAGAAAUGGGUGGAGUUUAGCCUAACGUUGGGAAGGGUUCUUUAUGUAGAGAAGACUCCUCUCUGCUUGUUUCAAUCGCAAAGGGGACUAUAGUCUCAAAGGCCUCUUCUUCUUAGCUAGGGGGUUCUGUGCCAAAAAUUGGUUCAAAGAAGCUAUGGAAAAGUCUUAGUCCUCCAAUUUCUGAUUGCCGAUAAGGGCCUCGAAGACAUAGCGAGCCUUUAUUGCAGGAAGCCCUAACUUCAGCACAAGAUGUUCUAUCAUGGGACGUUGCAUUUGGAGUGGGAGCACAGAAGGCGUGAAGAUUCAGCUCGAGUCCUCUCAUUUCUAGUUGUCGAUUAGAGCUUUGAAGAAGAAGUUCUAGGGAAGGGGCUUCAUCGUCGGGUGGUGAUGCGAGAAAUAGUGAAUGCCAUGUUCAAUAAAGGUCUUCACUUAAGACAACUAUUCAAUCAGAGGGGAAGGCAAAAUUUUGCUGAUUUUCUAACAUUGCAGACAAAUGAGACGUAGAGGGAUUUGGGGGUUUUGCUUAUUGUGGUUCUUCAAUCUUGGUUUUUCCUUCUAGUCCAGUAACCAGAGAAAAAAGGCAAUCCUCAGUGGGGACUUGUGGUUUGUUGGUAGUGGAAAACAAAGAGGUAUCUUCAUCUCCCUUACCUCAGUCAUGAAUUUCAGCUUUUCCCCCAUCGUCUUGGCACACCCACCUUUGUUUUCUUAUGAUCCCACUCUUCCCAAUUCACUAACGGAAUUGCGAGUAGUACUUGAAGUGAAUU
rnacentral:lncRNA from 1 species